UCUGCUGCUACCCGUUGUCUGGGCCGAUUAGAUGGCGGAGAGGAAGUGAGGAACACACACAGCAGCAGCAGCCACCGGGUGAUAAGCCUCGCCGCCGCCGGUCCCGGCCGCUGUCGUCGGCGAAGCACUCGAGUUGAAAGCAGCAUGAGACGAAGGAGGGUGCUUCUGCAACGAGUUUCCAGAUUGGCAGGCUACUGAUGACCCCAGCAUUCUUGUGGCGAAUGAUAAAACCGAGCCUUUGCUUCCGUCGGUGCAUUAUCCAAAUAAGACAUGUUAAAAACAAGCCAGCUGUAGCAGACAUGGAAGCUGGAAAGUUUUACAGAAAAAAGAAAGUGAAUCCUUGCCAUAUGAAGAUAUGCUUGUACCGUGUAUAAACGAAAAGAAUCUUGAAAAUGUUAUGAUGUCAAAAUGUGUAUUUAGCAGUGCUGCAGAAUAUGAGAUUUAGCAAUCUGAGACAAAAAUAAAUGACACUAGAAUUAUUCAUUUUAUUAUCAUAACAGAGCAGAAUGGAGCUGGGAUGCUAGCUGAAUCAUGUGAUUAUCUACAUGUUCACAUAGCUUAUUCACCAACGGUAGGCGUACCUAUCAAAAUUGGCCUGGCAGGCUUCAGGUGACUCCCAUCUGCAACAAAUUUCAAUUUAAUCAACGGAAAAUUUCAGCUGUGAAAAAAAUAUCAAACGAAUACCAGGUGAGAAGCUGGGCAAAAGAAAAAAAAAAUAGGUGAGAAAACAAGAGGUGCUCAUAUUUUUUUUAAUGUAAACUGGCUAAUUGAACUGUGAGGAAGCAGUUAUCCCCACUGCUGUAAUAUCUGACGCUUGGUUUAGUUUAGUUAUUGUUGAUGUAUGUUUGGUUCAGUCUUUAUUCAUGAAUAAA